UCGGUGGGGUUUUCGUUCGAGU
rnacentral:miRNA from 3 species